GUUUUGGGGUGCGAUUUAUGGGCCAAUUUGGGUUGGAGUUCUUCGGGUCAGGUUCUGGUCCAUUUACUGUCUGGGUUUAUUGGUGGUUCCGGAUGGUGUCGCGGAUCCAUGUUCGGGUCCAUUUCAGCUCCAAUUUCAGCUCCAAUUUCGGGUCAUUUUGGGUCCAGUUUUGGGUUGAUUUGUGUCCAUUUCGGGUUGAGUUUUCGGGUCAGGUUCUGGUCCAUUUACUGUCUGGAUUUAUCGGUGGUUCCGGAUGGUGUCGCGGAUCCAUGUUCGGGUCCAUUUCAGCUCCAAUUUCGGGUCAUUUUGGGUCCAUUUCAGCUCCAAUUUUGGGUCAUUUUGGGUCCAGUUUUGGCUCCAAUUUCAGCUCCAAUUUCGGGUCCAUUUCAGCUCCAAUUUCGGGUCAUUUUGGGUCCAUUUCAGCUCCAAUUUCGGGUCAUUUUGGGUCCAGUUUUGGGUCGAUUUAUGCCCAUUUUGGGUUGAGUUUUCGGGUCAGGUUCUGGUCCAUUUGGUAUCUGGGUUUAUCGGUGGUUCCGGAUGGUGUCGCGGAUCCAUGUUCGGGUCCAUUUCAGCUCCAAUUCCGGGUCGUUUUGGGUCAAUUUUGAGUCCAAUUUCAGGUCAUUUUGGGUCCAGUUUUGGGUCGAUUUAUGCCCAUUUCGGGUUGAGUUUUCGGGUCAGGUUCUGGUCCAUUUAUUGUCUGGGUUUAUUGGUGGUUCCGGAUGGUGUCGCGGAUCCAUGUUCGGCUCCAUUUCAGCUCCAAUUUCGGGUCAUUUUGUGUCCAUUUCAGCUCCAAUUUUGGGUCAUUUCAGGUCAUUUUGGGUCCAGUUUUGGGUCGAUUUGUGCCCAUUUUGGGUUGAGUUUUCGGGUCAGGUUCUGGUCCAUUUCCUGUCUGGGUUUAUCGGUGGUUCCGGAUGGUGUCGCGGAUCCAUUUCAGCUCCAAUUUCAGCUCCAGUUCCGGGUCGUUUUGGGUCAAUUUUGAGUCCAAUUUCGGGUCAUUUUGGGUCCAGUUUUGGGUCGAUUUAUGCCCAUUUCGGGUUGAGUUUUCGGGUCAGGUUCUGGUCCAUUGACUGUCUGGGUUUAUCGGUGGUUCCGGAUGGUGUCGCGGAUCCAUUGCGCGUACCGACACACCUUGGUGUACACCCCAGGCCGCCGGGGCUGCCCACAAAUCUCCAUCCCCCACGACACGAUGCCCUGUAGGGUCCCAUUGCAAACAAGGGGGCCGCCAGAGUCACCCUAAAAUGGGGGGAUAUGGGG
rnacentral:lncRNA from 1 species